CCUACGGGUGGCAGCAGUGGGGAAUAUUGCACAAUGGGCGGAACCUUGAUGCAGCAACGCCGCGUGGGUGAAGAAGUAAUCCGGUAUGUAAAGCCCUGUCAGCAGGGAAGAAAAUGACGGUACCUGACUAAGAAGCACCGCCUAACUACGUGCCAGCAGCCGCGGGAAUACGUAGGGGGCAAGCGUUAUCCGGAUUUACUGGGGGUAAAGAGAGCGUAGACGGCCAGACAAGUCAGAAGUGAAAGCCCAGGGCUCAACCCGGGGACUGCAUUUGAAACUGCCGUGCUGGAGUGCAGGAGAGGUAAGCGGAAUUCCUAGUGUAGCGGUGAAAUGCGUAGAUAUUAGGAGGAACACCAGUGGCGAAGGCGGCUUACUGGACUGAAACUGACGUUGAGGCUCGAAAGCGUGGGGAGCAAACAGGAUUAGAUACCCCGGUAGUC
rnacentral:rRNA from 1 species